AUUGAACGCUGGCGGCAUGCUUUACACAUGCAAGUCGAACGGCAGCGCGGGCUUCGGCCUGGCGGCGAGUGGCGAACGGGUGAGUAAUACAUCGGAACGUGCCCAGUAGUGGGGGAUAGCUCGGCGAAGGCCGGAUUAAUACCGCAUACGACCUGAGGGUGAAAGCGGGGGAUCUUCGGACCUCGCGCUAUUGGAGCGGCCGAUGGCAGAUUAGCUAGUUGGUGGGGUAAAGGCCUACCAAGGCGACGAUCUGUAGCUGGUCUGAGAGGACGACCAGCCACACUGGGACUGAGACACGGCCCAGACUCCUACGGGAGGCAGCGGUGGGGAAUUUUGGACAAUGGGCGAAAGCCUGAUCCAGCAAUGCCGCGUGUGUGAUGAAGGCCUUCGGGUUGUAAAGCACUUUUGGCGGGAACGAAAAGGACUGUGCCAAUACCACGGUUCGAUGACGGUACCCGCAGAAUAAGCACCGGCUAACUACGUG
rnacentral:rRNA from 1 species